UGGGGAAUAUUGCACAAUGGGCGCAAGCCUGAUGCAGCCAUGCCGCGUGUGUGAAGAAGGCCUUCGGGUUGUAAAGCACUUUCAGCGGGGAGGAAGGCGUUAAGGUUAAUAACCUUGGCGAUUGACGUUACCCGCAGAAGAAGCACCGGCUAACUCCGUGCCAGCAGCCGCGGUAAUACGGAGGGUGCAAGCGUUAAUCGGAAUUACUGGGCGUAAAGCGCACGCAGGCGGUCUGUCAAGUCGGAUGUGAAAUCCCCGGGCUCAACCUGGGAAGUGCAUUCGAAACUGGCAGGCUAGAGUCUUGUAGAGGGGGGUAGAAUUCCAGGUGUAGCGGUGAAAUGCGUAGAGAUCUGGAGGAAUACCGGUGGCGAAGGCGGCCCCCUGGACAAAGACUGACACUCAGGUGCGAAAGCGUGGGGAGCAAACAGG
rnacentral:rRNA from 1 species